GAAAUGCGAUACUUAGUGUGAAUUGCAGAAUCCCGUGAGUCAUCCAGUCUUUGAAUGCAAGUUGCGCCCGAGGCUUCGAACGAGGGCACGUCUGCCUGGGUGUCGCACACAAUCGAAUCGCCCCAUUUGCCUGCGUGCGGGCGGUGGAGGGGAGCUGGCUGUCCGUGUCCCUUGUGACACCGUCGGCUUAACCGGAUUGGGCUCUCGUUGUCGGGCAUCGGCGAGCGGUGGUUCGGUCGUCCUGGCCGACCGAUACGCGACACCGUAAGUGCACGGCACGCGGGGAAGGCCCUCCUCGACUUGAUCACUCGGGAGGCCUAGGCUUCGGCCGGAGUUCCUUCCGUCCACGUCACGCGACCCCAGGUCAGGCGAGAGCACCCGCUGAGUUUAA
rnacentral:misc_RNA from 1 species